rnacentral:rRNA from 1 species
GACGAACCGUGCGAACGUUGUUCGGAAUCACUGGGCUUAAAGGGCGCGUAGGCGGCCAGCCAAGUCCGGGGUGAAAGCCCCCGGCUCAACCGGGGAAGGGCCUUGGAUACUGGCUGGCUGGAGGGAGGUAGGGGCAGCUGGAACUUCCGGUGGAGCGGUGAAAUGCGUUGAUAGUCGGAAGGAACGGCCGGUGGCGAAAGCGAGCUGCUGGCCCUCUUCUGACGCUGAGGCGCGAAAGCCAGGGGAGCGAACGGG